rnacentral:lncRNA from 1 species
GGUGUUUCUAUGGGGCUGAUCCCGGGUCAGGGACUACAUUCCUCCCCGGCCUUGUGACCUCUCAUCUCCUUCAUCCAGUUGGGCCGAUUCUGCAGGCAAAGCCGGAGCCCGUGUCCGUGGACGUGGGGGAAGACGCCUCCUUCAGCUGUGCCUGGCGCGGGAACCCGCUUCCACGGGUAAUCUGGACCCGCCGCGGUGGCGCGCAGGUGCAGCCCUAAAUCUGAGGCGGUGGCUGGCGGGGGACCAGGCUUCCUUGCAAAUCCGGCUUCUGACGCCCCUUCCCCGUCGCAGGUGCUGGGCUCUGGAGCCACAUUGCGCCUUCCGUCGGUGGGACCAGAGGACGCAGGCGACUAUGUGUGCAGGGCUGAGCCUGGGCUCUCUGGCCAGGGUGGCGGCGCCGCGGAGGCUCCGCUGACUGAACGCCUCAGCCUCUUUCUCCGGGCAAAAGAACCUGAUGCGAAUCCCCGGCAGCAGCGACGGCUGCAGUUCGCGAGGCCCUUAAGAAGAGGAGACAGGCAGCCGCGAGGACCGGGGCCCCAUUGUGCACACUGACCACAGUGAUCUGGUUCUGGAGGAGGAAGGGACUCUGGAGACCAAGGUGAGUGUUGGGAGGGGUGGGGCUCCCUUCACUGUUGGGAGAGGCGGGGCUCCCUUCACUGUGUUUCCAUCUCUCUCCCAUGCCUGUCUCCUCCUUUUUCCUUCUGUUGUCCUCAGAACUGGGACUCAGCUCCUCACCCCACUCCUCCUGCCCCCUGGACCAUCUCACCUAGCUCCCAGCCUCAGUUUGCCUACCUGCAGAGUCUGCCCACACAUCUGUCCCAGCCCCAGAUGGGGGUCACUAUGCCUGUGCUCUCCUCAUCACAGUCAAGCCCCCUUUCAGCCCCUUUAUACUGGCCCCAUAUCUCCCCAAACCUGUCCUUCCUCUGGGAUCCUACCUCAGGACAGCCACAUUGAUUCCAGGCCAUCCCCAGGCCACAGCACUUCUCUCUCUCCUCUGUACCUAGCACAUGCCAUUCUCUUUCUCUCUCUUCUUUUUUUUUUGAGACAGAGUCUCACUCUGUUGCCCCUGCUGGAGUGCAGUGGUGCAAUCUCGGCUCACUGCAACCUCUGCCUCCUGGGUUCAAGCCAUUCUCCUGCCUCAGGCUCCCGAAUAGCUGGCUAA